rnacentral:rRNA from 1 species
CUAGGGUGGCUGCAGUGGGGAAUAUUGGACAAUGGGCGAAAGCCUGAUCCAGCCAUGCCGCGUGUGUGAAGAAGGCCUUCGGGUUGUAAAGCACUUUCAGUGGGGAAGAAAGCCUUGGGGCUAAUACCCUCGAGGAAGGACAUCACCCACAGAAGAAGCACCGGCUAACUCCGUGCCAGCAGCCGCGGUAAUACGGAGGGUGCGAGCGUUAAUCGGAAUUACUGGGCGUAAAGCGCGCGUAGGCGGUCUGAUAAGCCGGUUGUGAAAGCCCCGGGCUCAACCUGGGAACGGCAUCCGGAACUGUCAGGCUAGAGUGCAGGAGAGGAAGGUAGAAUUCCCGGUGUAGCGGUGAAAUGCGUAGAGAUCGGGAGGAAUACCAGUGGCGAAGGCGGCCUUCUGGACUGACACUGACGCUGAGGUGCGAAAGCGUGGGUAGCAAACAGGAUUAGAUACCCCUGUAGUC